CCCAGCUCCUGCCCACCUAGCAGUUCGAAAGCACCCCUAAGUGCAAGUAGAUAAAUAGGUACCGCUUUAUAGUGGGAAGGUAAAUGGCGUUUCCAUGUGCUGCGCUGGUGCUGGCUUGCCAGAGCAGCUUCGUCACGCUGGCCACGUGACCCGGAAGUGUCUCCGGACAGCGCUGACCCCCGGCCUCUUAAGUGAGAUGGGC